rnacentral:lncRNA from 1 species
AAGUCAUAAGUUCACGCGUGCACUAUUCAAAUUAAACUUCAAGUUUACCAGGAACAGAACAUGUAAACAUCAAAUUCCAAUAGUUAGAUUUUGUUUCGACAUGAUCAUGAUUAAAUCAUAACCUAAGAAGCACGGGGAUAGAUACGUAAUACGGAUACGAUACGGUACGGGGACGUAAAUACGUCAUUUUUCCAAAACACAUGAUACGAUACGUCAAAAAUACGUUUUAGUUUUUUAUUUAAAAUAUAUUUUAUAUAUAUUAUAAAUUCAUAAUUCACCAAUAAUAUAAGCAAAACACUACUAAUUCAUAAUAAAGUUAACCAAAUAGAAAAUAAAACAUAGUCUUAAUAAUUAAUACUUAAUAAAACACACUAAAAUGUUAGCCCUCUUCACUCAUCAUCCUCAUUCUCCUCCUCCUUCCUCUUCCUCUUCAUGGCUGCCAAUACAAAUCAAAAACAUAAAUCAAACUUCAAUCAACAAAUUGAAAUACCCACUGCCCAAUUCAAAAUACCCGCAGCCACUGCCCAAUUCGACAUACCCACUGCCCAAUCAAAAACAUAAAUCAAACAAAUCCAACAAAUUGAAAUACCCAUCUGCCUAAGUUAAUUGAAAUACUCAAAUACCCACUGCCCAAUCCAACAAAUCGAAAAUCAAACUUCAAUCCAACAAAACCCAAAGCCAAAUUCAGCCAAUCUACCCACUGCCCAAGCCAAAUAAAAGAGAUUAGAGCAAUACCUUUAGUUGUUAAGGUGGCGCGGCUGCUCCAAGCGCGCAGGGAAGCGCGACGGCGACGACGA